rnacentral:rRNA from 1 species
UACGUAGGGUCCGAGCGUUGUCCGGAAUUACUGGGCGUAAAGAGCUCGUAGGUGGUUUGUCGCGUUGUUCGUGAAAACUCACAGCUCAACUGUGGGCGUGCGGGCGAUACGGGCAGACUGGAGUACUGCAGGGGAGACUGGAAUUCCUGGUGUAGCGGUGGAAUGCGCAGAUAUCAGGAGGAACACCGGUGGCGAAGGCGGCUUUCUGGACACUAACUGACGCUGAGACGCGAAAGCGUGGGGAGCAAACAGG